UACGUAGGUGGCAAGCGUUAUCCUGAUUUAUUGGGCGUAAAGGGAACGCAGGCGGUCUUUUAAGUCUGAUGUGAAAGCCUUCGGCUUAACCGGAGUAGUGCAUUGGCAACUGGGAGACUUGAGUGCAGAAGAGGAGAGUGGAACUCCAUGUGUAGCGGUGAAAUGCGUAGAUAUAUGGAAGAACACCAGUGGCGAAAGCGGCUCUCUGGUCUGUAACUGACGCUGAGGUUCGAAAGCGUGGGUAGCAAACAGG
rnacentral:rRNA from 1 species